rnacentral:rRNA from 1 species
GAUGAACGCUGGCGGCGUGCUUAACACAUGCAAGUCGAACGGAAAGGCCCUGCUUUUGUGGGGUUCUCGAGUGGCGAAGGCGUGAGUAACACGUGUGUAACCUGCCCUUGACUUUGGGGUAACUUCACGAAACUGGGGCUAAUAUCGGAUAGGAUAUCCUGCAGCAUGGUGGGGGUUGGAAAGUUUCGGCGGUUGGGGAUGGACUCGCGGCUUAACAGCUUGUUAGUGGGGUAGGGGCUGACCAAGGCUUUGACGGGUAGCCGGCCUGAGAGGGUGACCGGCCACCAUAGGACUACGGUACGGCGCAGUCUGCAACGGUAGGCAGCGGUCGGAAGUAUUGCACAGCGAGCCGGAGCGUGUUACGACAGCGCCGCGUGCGGAAUGACGUCCUUCGGGUUAUGAACCGCUGUAGCCUGUGACGAAGCGUGAGCGACGGUAAUUAAUAAAGAAGCACCGGCUAACUACGUG